GUUGAAUUGGCAGAAAAAGUGCUUUAAAUUUAGAAUUUAAUAAUGUAAUAUUUACAUUCAAUA
rnacentral:tRNA from 1 species